CGGGCCAGUUCUGCAAAGGUUCUUAUGACUCAUGACUAUGCAAUUCAUUAUGCCUUGAAGGCCACAUCCCUGUGGAAGACCUGAAUCAUCUCAGAGUGGGAUGUGAAGUGAUGGUAUGACACCAUACGUGAACCUUACAAAACUGACUGCAUAAGUAUUUCUAUAAACAAUUUUGUGGCAACAGAAAUUAUUUCUGAAGAACAGACAGACAGAGAAAGGACAGGACUUCCUAUGCGUAGAUCAAAGGAAAAAGUGGCAUUUGAAGAGAAGCUGCUCAGUUUCCCUGACAUCUUCAAAUAUUUUUUAAUAGUAUAAGCACUGUUUAUUUACUUGGCAGGGAAGAAUUUCUGGUUCACAUUUUUUAAUUUUUCCAGCCACAGCAGGCCAGUAGAUUUUAAACACGAAAGGAUGUUAAAUGUUUCUAAACCUUUAAAAGGACUUCAGGAGAUAAAAGAGGCAUGGGGAGGAUGAGAGUUUUGAAAGCCGAGAUAACUAUCUGUUGUGUUCCUCCUACAGUUGGUUUGCAAGCCUUCCCUUGCCAAGCAAUCUUUGCUGACAUACUCCAGCAGUGUUUAAAACCUUGUGAGUUUCCAGAGGGUGUGGUGAGGUUCCUGUAUAAAUAUUACUGAGGCAUUUGAUCCCCACCUCCAGAAAGCAAAGGUGUGGUGAAAUUGGACUCUACUGGCACAAUUCAUCAUACUUUACUAUUACUUCUACAUGCUUUGGCUUAGACACUGUAAUUAAUAAACGUAGUGUUUGUCCUGAGAAAUUUAGCCCUGUGAAGAACUACAACACUUCUGAGAAAGGGCCGAUCUCUAUAACUGAAAAGAGAUCAUUUAUCUUUUAAUGAAUGUGCACACUGUUUUCACAUGUGCAAGGGUGCAGUUUUCCUUUGAAUGACUCAGGCGGUGAGCACUUUUUUAAAUAUCCCGGAUAGUAGUUAACAUCAAAAAUAUGAAGUGUGGCCUGAAUUUCUCAAUCGUGAUACCCAGUACUGCAUUAUGAGUAAUAAUGUAUGUGUGGCCUGUAUGCACUUUAGCUGAAACUUGUCAUUUUUCCGAAGAAACCUCUCAAAGGGUGUAACUGUAUGUCAGCUGCGCAACUACUGAAUCAGGAAGCUGAUCCCUGCUUUGUGCUAUUUGGAGUUUCCCAGGCUGCUCUCUGUGGCUGGAGGAAUUGGGCCCUCACCCCAUCUCCUGCAGGUGCAGCUGAGGUGCAGCUUGCGCUCUGUAGUUGAGCAGCACACAGUCUUAUUGCGUGGCAGAUGAUCCCUCCAGGCAGCAGGAGUGGGAACAACCUCUUCCCACUUUCUUCCUUAGUCCCAAACCUUCCUCUCCCUGAUAUUUCUCCUCUUAGAGACAGGGCCUGAACCCAGCCCUGCCCUCUUAACUCACUGCCCCAAGGAGUAGAUAGAGAUUGCUGAAGGGCAAGGAGAGUAAAGGGGGGGCAUGGUGAGGGUGGGCUGGUCAGUGCCUUGGGAAAAGGGAGUUACUAGGCAGAAAUGAACUGUGACCAAGCAAUGAAGCACAAUGAGAAAGAAAAGAGGGAAGAGGAAAGAGGAACUGCUCUUACACAUAGUCCUGUGAAGUUUAAUGAUUCUUCCUCCACCCGCUUUGUCCGCCUUUAAUUCCCAUAUCUCUGCAUUCCUUACAAGAACUCAUCUGACACCUCACUAUUCUCCUGCUCCAUGCUGACCUUACCAGAGCCACGGCAUUGAAAUUUUACUUGUGUGACUAAGAAGUCAGCCUUCCACUGUAAGGAUUUGCUCGCCUCCAGGAUUCUGUUCCUGUUGUCUGUAAGGUGCUUAUAACAAAAAUUAAUUUUUUGCCUGCUUUGAUUUUGGGCUGUGUGUUGCUAUUGUUAACAUUUAGAAAACAUAGGAAAGUGCUGUAUGAGUUGAAAAAAUAAAAGCUCCAAAUUGGUUCAGAAUAUUUUUUUCUCGGUAAUAUCACACAAUUGUGAGCAUUUGCUCAUGUUACAAGACAGAGCCCUAUGAUAUUAGAGUCUUUAUUUUGUGAUAUUUAAGACUAUAACAAUGAGGAAAGGGAGGCCAGGUGCAAAUGAUAGCACAUGGAUAUCCACAUAUAGCAAAAUGGAGACAAAGUAUAAAUUAUGCUACUAGGGCUAAAAAUGUGUAGCAUGAAGCCGUGUAUUAUCUCACCUUUGCUCCUAAACAUCAUGAACCAUCCGAGGAACCUGCUGUUCACAGGGUGACUAAGCACUACUUGGAAUUCACAGAGAUAUUCUCUAGACUUUGGUUCAGAGAGUGUUAAAAGUGGGAAGGGAGGGUGAGAGCAUUGUAGCUGACCAUUGAAGAUUCAAAAUGAGGGCUGGUGGGACUUAUUCUCACAUGUAGCCAACUCUGAUUUGGUGAGAGAAAGCUAAGCUGGCUGAAUGGCUUAUACUAUUUUGACAUUAGUGAGAUGUGGAUUUAUGUUUAAAAUUACAUUAAUCAGAAGAUUGUGUAUUCUACAAUCUUAAAGCUAUGCAACAUUUGACAGGGAAAGGCCAUGAGCAGCUUAGUAUAGCUUUGAAGACCAGAUGACUGUCAGCUGCCCGUUCUAACACAAGUUACUCUCUAAUUCUGUGAACUUCGGGAGACCAAUUUUUGCAGAUAGCUGACUUUGAUCAACUGAGCAAUGUUGCUUACAUUCUUAUGUAUUAGAAGAAUUAGGACUGGAAUAAACAAUAGAGCCCUGGGGUCAAAUUCUGUCAUCUCUGUGGAAAUUCAUUACGUGAAUUACCUUCCUACUGUAAGACUGCAGGCAGAUGAACAAGUGUGGUCUUGUAUCUGCACAGCUCAUUAAUCCUUUGAAUUAAUUGUGCCCCUUUGUAUGUGUGCAAUGACAAAUACAUAAAAGGUGUGGUGGCAGAGCACGUAAAAGCCUCUUAUGAUGGGUCCUAAAGCUGAGAAUCGGAGCUUUCUUCCAUACUUGUGCAGAAAGAAAUAUUAGGGGUAAAAGAGAGGUCAAUCCAGCUGCACUUCAUGACACAGAGGAGAGUCAAAGUCUCUGGGACAUGGUGCUGACUAAUUUGCUUCUUUGUGAAUGGAGAGAGAAAGCUGUAUCCUCCUCUGUUGGCACAAAGGAGAGGACUUGUUCCAUGAUGGGUGAUGGUGGUCUGAUAUCUGUCACCCAACUUGGGACUUCAUCCAGGACUGACAUUUAUGUGUCUAUUAUUACAAAAGCUACGGUGCUUCAGGUGUGGAAGGCUGUUGGAGUUUUUGACUGUUAGACAAAUAUUUCUGGGUCUGAGAUCUGAGGACUCCAGCAUCCAUUCCUUCAUGGGUGUGUGAUUUGCCAAGUCCAAAAAAUGGUUUCAAAGUUUUCAGUCUCUGAAAACAUAGGGCUGAGAAUGUUGAGGAAGGUUAAGGAGGUGGCUACUGAGGACAACAAUAUGACUGCUGGUUGCUGUGCUGGCGGAAGUCAGCAGAAAUAAGGAGGCCACACUGAAUCUGUCUACAUACAGGAGUAGAUACACUUCUUUGCAUCUUCUGUUUGUGAAGAAGUAUGUAUUAAUUGAUAAGAAACACAAUGGCCUAUAAAUAGGGCAGUUUUAUAACGAAUCUGCUGAAAAUUAAGUGUCCUGAGGAUUUUAGGCACCCUAUUUCCAUGACCAGAUAACAGAAACUCCAGAGCAAUAGUGAACACGUUGUUAGCUCUCUUGCAAAAAAUUUCCCCAUUUGUUAUCUCCUGACCAGCAAUUGACUAAGAUACAGGAAAUUAAAGGAAAAUAUUUGAACUAUUUAUACACCGGUGGAGGUGGUGUCUUGUUAUCUUCCUUCUUUUGCAAGAUUGUGUUUGCUACCAGCAAGUUAUGUCCCCUAGGUAUGGCCAAAUUGUGUGUUAUCUUGAAGGGGAGAGUGAGGGAGAGAGGGAGUAGCCGAAAAAAGUAGAACAAACUGAAUACUGUGAGGUGGAACUGAGAAAACAUACCAUCACAGACUACCCAGCACUGGUGCCAUGCUGUGCAUGCUGGAGUCUAGAAAGAGCAUAGCUUUCUUGCAGUAACUUCACCCCAAAAAAUCUUCCUUUCAUUCUUCUGGUACUUCUCUGUGACAGUUCCUCACAGGCCUGUUUCCUUUCUUGUUUCAGUGACAAAGGGAAGAAUAAUUCAUUCCAGAGAGAAACUUUAACUUGCCAUAGACAUUGCUUCUUUUAGUGUGAUUAUUCUCUUUAUUUACCAAAAGUAGAAAGCCCAUUCCUAUUUCCCAUUCCCAUAUGUUCUUCAAGGCAGUGUUAUGGUCUCAGUGAGGUGUAGAUUCUGCACAUAUCCAGCUGCCUUCCAAACUGCUUAUCGACACUUGUUUCAGAGAGACUGGAUGAAUCAUGGUUUGUGCUGAAAGUGUUGUAUGUGACUAGUUGGAGUUGCAUGCUUGAGGGAUUAUGGGUCAUGCUGGUCCCUUCCUGGCAGAACAGUGGUCUCAACAUUGUAUCGUAGCCCGUUGUUAGGACAGACUCUCAUUCCUCAUCUCUCUGUAAGCAAUGAAUCAACUAUGAUAAAAGAAUCAUAGAAUAUCUCGUUAGAAGAGACUCAUAAGGAUCAUCGAGUCCAAUUCCCUGCUCUUUGUAGGGCUAUCUAAAACUAAACCAUAUGACUAAGAGCAUCAUACAGAUACUCCUUGAACUCUAACAGGCUUGGUGCCAUGACCACCUCCCAGAGGAGCCUAUUUCAGUGAUCGACCACCAUGUCAUUGAAGAACCUUUUCCUAAUGUCCAGUCUGAACUUCCCCUGACACAGCUUCAUGCCAUCUCCUUGUGUCCUGUCGCUGGUCACCAGAGAGAGAGAGACCAGCACUGCCCCCUCUGCUGCUCCCCUGAGGAAGCUGUAGCCACCAUGAGGUCACCCCUCAGCCUUCUCUUCUCUAGGCUGAACAAACCAAGUGACCCCAGCUGCUCCUCAUAAGUUUUGCCCUCAAGGCCUUUCACCAUCUUGAUUGCCCUCCUCUGGACACACUUUCAUAGUUUGAUGUCUUUCUUAUACUGAGAUGCCCAAAACUGCAAGCAGUACUCGAGGUGAGGCCGCACCAGUACAGUGUAGAGUGGGACAAUUGCAUCCCUUGACUGGCAGUUAUACUGUGCUUGUUGCACCCCAGGACAUAAAUGGCCCUUUUGGCUGCCAGAGCACACCGUUGACUCGUAUUCAACCUCCCAUCAACUCAAACCCCCAAAUCUCUUUCUACAGGGCUGCUCUCCAGCUUCUCAUCCCACACUUUGUAGGUAUAACCAGGAUUACUUCAUCCCAGGCACACUUGAAAUACUCCAGAUGAAAUGCACUUGCUUAAACGUGUUUUUAUUAUGAUUAAGGAAGCAAAAGAGUAUGUACACAAGACCCAUCACAUAUGGACACAUGGAAAACAAUUUGAAUAGUAAUAUGCCAUAUUUGGUCAAGACAAUUGAGCCAAAAAGGCUUAAGGAGAAAUACGAAUUGUAAGAUUUCUAUAAUGCAUCUUUAGAAAGUGAAGAAGAACCUUGCAGUAUCAGGAGCACAAAGAAAAAGCAAUUGCCUUGUCAGAGUAGGAAUGGCUGGUGACAGUUUAGAAUUUAAUCUGGGAGUUUUCGAGUGACUAAUUGCAGAGGAGUCACCAUGAAGCUUGGCCAUAGAAAAAGCUGGCUUCAUUGGAAGACUGCAUUUUUUUCCAUAAAACUCCUGCUGAUGAAUGGGGUUGUGAUUUUUCAGUGUGAUGAAUUGGCACUAGUAUUGUUAACUUGCACCAGGAGCAUCUCUGUUCAUGUUUUCUUUGGGCCUGGUUUUCAUUCCUUUAAUCCUUCGUUCAUGAGUAAAUAAUAUUACUCUACACAGAAAGGAAAGGCAAAGGACUGCUGUUUUCAUGGUAUAAUUUCUCUGAUUUAAUUUUUUUUUU